AAAACUUGGUUUUCGAGCGUUUCCCUGCCCCAGGAGGGCAGUGGGCCCCAUGUCCAAUUCAUCAAGUGCCUAAUGAGUGGCCUCGGAGGUCCCGGCCCAUCCAUUCCAGGAGCUCUCUCUGCCUCGUAAAGCUAGUGAUUUUGCCAACUUCCUGGAUGUUCACUCGAGUUCUGCACAAAGAGCCACAUUUCCUUCUGGAACCAGCACCGGGACCCAGACAGAGGAGCGGACACUGGAAACUGUCCUGAGGAUCUGAGACUGUGAAUAAGAAGGCUAGGCCCCUAGCGUGUGCGAGAUGGAGGACUGGGUCACGGCCGUCUGUGGGCCAGUUCCCGGAGCCCAGGAGCAAACCAGCAGCGAGAGGGGCCGCCUGGGAACGGGUGACUCCGGUGAGUCUCUCGA